rfam:Myotis davidii contig315371, whole genome shotgun sequence.
GGCAGUUCUCAGGUGAUGCACCCUGGAAUCGAGCUCCCUCCUCUCUGGUUCCGGGUGCAUAACCCAAGAACUGCA